rnacentral:rRNA from 1 species
CGAAACGGUGUGAUCUACCCAUGGUCAGGUUGAAGCGCGGGUAAAACCGCGUGGAGGACCGAACUCACCGGUGUUGAAAACUGGGGGAUGAACUGUGGGUAGGGGUGAAAGGCCAAUCAAACACCGAAAUGGCUGGUUCUCCCCGAAAUAUAUCUAGGUAUAGCGUCGCGUAUGACCUCGGGAGGUAGAGCACUGAAUGGGCUAGGGGUCUCACCAGAUUACCAAACCCAAUCAAACUCCGAAUGCCCGAGAGUCGAGCGCGGCAGUCAGUCGGCGGGUGAUAACGUCCGUCGUCAAAAGGGAAAGAACCCAGACCGCCAGCUAAGGUCCCCAAGAACAGGCUAAGUGGUAAACGAUGUCGGAGCGCAUAGACAGCCAGGAGGUUGGCUUAGAAGCAGCCACCCUUUUAAAGAAAGCGUAAUAGCUCACUGGUCGAGUGAACCGGCGCGGAAAAAUGUAACGGGG